UACGGGGGGGGCAAGCGUUGUUCGGAAUUACUGGGCGUAAAGGGCUCGUAGGCGGCCAACUAAGUCGGAUGUGAAAUCCCCAGGCUUAACCUGGGAACUGCAUCCGAUACUGGAUGGCUUGAAUCCGGGAGAGGGAUGCAGAAUUCCAGGUGUAGCGGUGAAAUGCGUAGAUAUCUGGAGGAAUACCGGUGGCGAAGGCGGGUCUCUGGGCCGAUACUGACACUGAGAAGCGAAAGCGUGGGGAGCGAACAGG
rnacentral:rRNA from 1 species